AGACAGACUCCGGGGCCCUCAACUGGUCUCCGACCUUCCCCUGCAACCUGCGACACCUGCCAUUUUCCCAUCUUAGGCUCCAGAAGCAGAAUCAAGUGGGAUGUCUUGGAAGAAAAACAAACAAAAGGCCCACUAGGUGGAGUGAAAUGGAUCAGGAGCAAUUAUGUUCAAUUUCACCUUUAAGUUUUCUCAAAAGGAGGAGCAUUAAGAAUCAGCCACCUUAGUACAUACUUAAAGGAGAAGAUAGUCAUUGGACAAAAGGUGGGUCAUUCUCACGUUGACCAAGUUUCUGUUCCAGUAUCACCCUCCCAGUCCACAGGUCGAGAGGAACCAUACUUGAAGAAACAUACCUGAAGGGUUUCAUCCAUAUGUGGGCCUGAUUUGGAUGAUAAAAUCCUGCAUCUUGAGCCUGAUCUUGAUGCUGCCUGUGUUCUGAUGCCAUCAGGAGUUGAGAGUCUAGGGGUUUUAGAAAGGGUGAAUGUAUUUUCCCAUAGGCAAGGAACAUAAUCAAUGGCCAAAAUGUGCACUGUGACAGAUUAAAGGUUGCUACAAAUUCUCUGAUACCCUUCCAUUAAGAGGAGCAAGUUGAGAAACAACUGCAGGAAUCCAGCUGAUGAACAUCUAUCUAUAAUCCUAAAGGUUGGCCGGGCGUGGUGGCUCACGCCUGUGAUCCUAGCACUUUGGGAGGCCUAGGCAGGUGGAUCACCUGAGGUCCAGAGUUCGAGACCAGCCUGGCCAACAUGGAGAAACCCCGCCUCUACUAAAAAUACAAAAUUAGCUGGGCGUGGUGGCGCAUGCCUGUAAUCCCAGCUGCUCCGGAGGCUGAGGCAGGAGAAUGGCUUGAGCCUGGGAGUUAGAGGUUGUGGUGAGCCGAGAUAGCGCCAUUGCACUCCACCCUGGGCAACAAGAGUAAGACUCCGUCUCAAAAAAAGAAAAGAAAAAAAAUAAAUCCUAAAGGUUGACUAAACUGCAUUAGAGAAGCAGCUCAACCUGUGGCUACAAGCCUACCACUUUUCCUUCAGAAUUAAACACUUCCAUCCCCAACUGCAUGUCUGCCCUACUUAGAUGCCUGAAAUUCUACUAACAGAGUUAGUAGAAUUUAAAGAGUUCUUCCUUUAAAUUAAGGCACUGCAAUUGGAAAAGUCUAGUGUAAAGUAUGAAUAGCGCUAGAGGCAUACUACCUUUCAUCACUUUCAGCUAUAGCAUUGCAAUAUUGAUUAAUUUGUUAUAUUUUGUAUCUAAUUAUAUUGCUGGUUAAAUCCUGAGUCUCAAUGGAAUGUGACACAGGACAAAUAGAUUUGAUAGAAGAAGGAAGUAUUAGGAUAUGUUCUAAAGGCUUAAAUCAUUUUCAAAAAAGCUACACAUUAAUUAAUUUGAUUAACUAACUAGAAAAA
ensembl:lncRNA LINC02805 long intergenic non-protein coding RNA 2805